ACCAAAUAAUAUUACUUACAGUGUUUUUCUCCAAGGAUGUUUAAAGAAUAAGCACUAUGAUGAUGUAGAGAUGCUUUUACAGGAAAUGGAUGAUAGAGGUUACUCACUUGAUGCUUCGACUUUAUCGUUAUUUAUAGAUCAUAUCGCAGCUGGUUUACUAGAUAGAAGUAUGCUUAAGUUGUUAGGUAAGCUUGUGCCAAAAGAACUACUGAACGAUCCUAGCUUGUGCGACUGGGAGUGAAACUGAGAUAGUGAUUGUUUAGAGGAAAAAUGAAGAUUAAAACUUGUAAAAUGUGGAAAGCAGAAAAUCUCUACCAAAUUCUAUUUGGUGUUCAUGUGUUUGGUUCUAAAAUCUAGUCACUUCCUAAAGGUUAACUUUUGAUAUUUUA